ACCUAUGGCGGGCGGUGCGUGGGGGCCUCGUGCCCGCCGGCGUUUCGCAGAGCUACCACCGGUAUUGGAACCACGCACCGUCCGCCGCCCCG
rnacentral:antisense_RNA from 1 species